rnacentral:lncRNA from 1 species
GUAGUCCCAGCUACUCGGGAGCCUGAGGCAGGAGAAUGGCGUGAACCUGGGAGGCAGAACUUGCAGUGAACCGAGAUCCUGCCACUGCACUGCAGCCUGGGUGACACAGCGAGACUCCGUCUCAAAAAAAUAAAAAUAAAAAUAAAUAAAUAAAUAAAUAAAAUUUAUAAAUUAAAAUUUAUAAAUUAAAAAUAAAUAAAAAUAAGUAAAUAAAUAAAAAUUUACCAUUUUAACCAUUUUUCAGUGGCAAUAAGUACAUUCACAUUGUUGUGCAACCAUCUCCAGAACUUUUUUAUUGUACUUGGCACUGUAUUAUGGAGCAUAGUGCUUUCUGCCAUGUAGUAUAUAUGGCACUUGCGUACACACCUUGUCUCUCCUAUGUUGUAAGCUCAUUUAUGGCAAGAUCUAUGUGGAACUCAUUUUUGUAAUUCCUAUUCCUCCAAAACCCUUAGAAGUCAUCUUUAAUUCCUUUCUCUUAUAUCCCACAUCCAAUCCAUCAGCAAAUCUUGUCAUCUCUGUCUUCAAAAUGAAUCCAGAAUAUCACCAAUUCUCGACUCCACCAUUAUGACCCUAGUGCAUCUCUCUUGGACUGUAAUAGCCUUCUCACUGGUCUCCCGCUUACAUCCUUGCUCUUCUCCAGUCAAUUCACACAGUGGCAAGAGUUGUCCUCAUGAAACAUGUGAGAUCAUUGUCAUUUCACUGCUCAGAUCCCUUAAUUGGCUUCCCAUUUCCCUCAAAGUAAAAACCACAGAUUUAUAAUGACCUACCAAGGCUAUCAUAGCCACCAAGAUGACCACCAAUGGUCUUCACCUCUUGCUAUUUACACCCUGGGGUAGUUCUCUUCUAUAAUGAACCAGGGCUGACUGUGUCAUCAGUAGUAUAUGGUAGAAAUGAUAGCGUGUGACUUACAAGACUAGGUCAUAAAAGGCAUUGUGGUAUCUGCCUUGCUCCGUUUUUGGAUUGGUUGCUGUAGGGGAAGCCAGCUGUCAUGUCAUGAAGAUACUCAAACAGCAUGUGGAGGCUGGUCUGAGUGAAGUGGUGUUUACAACCAAUUGAUCACAGCUAGUUACAGAUUUCUUUCUUCCUUCUCUACUCUCACUGCUUUACUUCACUAGGCUUUUUUUUAAAAACAGCAGGUGGAGAGACCCACACAAAUAGAAACAAAGCCCUUCCCCUCUCCUCAUCUCUUCCUCCCCCAUCAACAACCAGCACCAAUUUGCCAACCAUGUGAGUGAGCCGCCUUGGAAGAAGAAUCUUCAGGCACAGCCUUCAGAAACUGUAGCCUCUUGGGACCCAGAGCCAGAACCCCCAAGCCAAAGGACUCUUGAAUUCCUGUGUAUUAUUGUCAAUAGCCAAAUUUUAGGGCAAUUUGUUACACAGCAGUAGAUACCUAAUACAAAGACCCUAAACUCUUACUUUUGUGUCUUCAUUUCCUACUAUUCUCCUCCUUCUUUCUUUAGCUUUCCUGACUCAGGGUCUGUGUACUUGCUGUUUACUCUGCCCGGAACACUUUCCCCAGAUAGCAUAUCCUUCUCCUCCUUCAAGUCUUUGCUUAAUUGUUACCUUCUCCAAAAGGCCUACAGUGACCACAAUAUUUAAAAUUACAGUUCCUCCUCCCAGCACUCCCAAU